AGGAAUAUUGGUCAAUGGACGCAAGUCUGAACCAGCCAUGCCGCGUGAGUGAUGAAGGCCUUAGGGUUGUAAAGCUCUUUUACCCGGGAUGAUAAUGACAGUACCGGGAGAAUAAGCCCCGGCUAACUCCGUGCCAGCAGCCGCGGUAAUACGGAGGGGGCUAGCGUUGUUCGGAAUUACUGGGCGUAAAGCGCACGUAGGCGGCUUUGUAAGUUAGAGGUGAAAGCCCAGGGCUCAACCCUGGAAUUGCCUUUAAGACUGCAUCGCUUGAACAUCGGAGAGGUAAGUGGAAUUCCGAGUGUAGAGGUGAAAUUCGUAGAUAUUCGGAAGAACACCAGUGGCGAAGGCGACUCACUGGACACAUAUUGACGCUGAGGUGCGAAAGCGUGGGGAGCAAA
rnacentral:rRNA from 1 species